GACGAACGCUGGCGGCGUGCUUAACACAUGCCAGUCGAACGCUGAAGCUCAGCUUGCUGGGUGGAUGAGUGGCGAACGGGUGAGUAACACGUGAGUAACCUGCCCUCUUCUUUGGGAUAACGCCCGGAAACGGGUGCUAAUACUGGAUAUUCACUGAUUCUCGCAUGGGGGUUGGUGGAAAGGUUUUUUCUGGUGGGGGAUGGGCUCGCGGCCUAUCAGCUUGUUGGUGGGGUGAUGGCCUACCAAGGCUUUGACGGGUAGCCGGCCUGAGAGGGUGACCGGUCACAUUGGGACUGAGAUACGGCCCAGACUCCUACGGGAGGCAGCAGUGGGGAAUAUUGCACAAUGGGCGAAAGCCUGAUGCAGCGACGCCGCGUGAGGGAUGGAGGCCUUCGGGUUGGAAACCUCUUUCGCUCAUGGUCAAGCCGCAGCUUUGGGUUGUGGUGAGGGUAGUGGGUAAAGAAGCGCCGGCUAACUACGUG
rnacentral:rRNA from 1 species